GCUGGGUGCAGUGGCGAACACCUGUAAUCCUGUGACUCGGAGGCUGAAGCCGGCGGAUUGCUUGAGCUCAGGAGUUCUGGGCUGCAGUGCGCUAUGCCGGUUGGGUGCCUGCGUUAAGUUUGGCAUCAAUACCGUGAUCCCAGGGGUCACAACAUUGCUUAAGAAGGGGUGAACCAGCCCAGGUUUGAAAUGGAGCAGGUCAAAACUCCUGUGUGGAUUAGUAGUGGGACUGCACCUGUGAAUAGCCCCUGCUGCCUAGCCUGGGCAACACAGUGGGACCUGGUCACU
rnacentral:SRP_RNA from 1 species